rnacentral:rRNA from 1 species
GUCUAAGUUCCUUGGAACAGGACGUCAUAGAGGGUGAGAAUCCCGUAUGUGACUGGGUGCUUUCGCUCAUGUGAAACUCUUUCGACGAGUCGAGUUGUUUGGGAAUGCAGCUCAWAAUGGGUGGUAAAUUUCAUCUAAAGCUAAAUAUUGGCCAGAGACCGAUAGCGCACAAGUAGAGUGAUCGAAAGAUGAAAAGCACUUUGGAAAGAGAGUUAAACAGUACGUGAAAUUGUUGAAAGGGAAGCGCUUGCWACCAGACUUGCGCGCUGAUGAUCAUCCGGGCUUCUGUCCGGUGCACUCGUCUGCGCUCAGGCCAGCAUCGGUUUCGGUGGUGGGAUAAAGGCCUUGGGAAUGUARCUCCUCUCGGGGAGUGUUAUAGCCCUCGGUGCAAUGCCGCCUACYGGGACCGAGGAMCGCGCUUCGGCUAGGAUGCUGGCGUAAUGGUUGUAAGCGACCCGUCCUGAAACACGGACCAAGGAGUCUAACAUCUAUGCGAGUGUUUGGGUGUUAAACCCAUACGCGUAAUGAAAGUGAACGGAGGUGAGAACCCUUAAGGGUGCAUCAUCGACCGAUCCUGAUGUCUUCGGAUGGAUUUGAGUAAGAGCAUAGCUGUUGGGACCCGAAAGAUGGUGAACUAUGCGUGAAUAGGGUGAAGCCAGAGGAAACUCUGGU